AAGAAAUUCAUCUGCAGUCUGUAGAAAAAUGUAUCACUCAAGCAGCAAGACAUUUGUAUUCCCCUUUUAAUAGCACACUUACAAAAGAAGCUUCAUGCAGUGCUCCUCCCACUUGCCUUCCUGCCAUUCAAGAACACAGUGUUUGUUCCCUCUGGAGGAUAUAGGACUAAGGCAGCAUCAACAAAGACCUAUCUUGGCCUAAUCGAUCCUAUCCUUUCCUACACUACUGAAAGAAGAAAGCCUUCCCAGACAACCAAACUGCUGGCCUCUGAUCUACAGACACUUUCCAGCCUCCAGCACUGCCAGAGCUGAACCAGAAUGGAAGGCAAUAACAUUGAGAAAUUCACCGUCAACAACAGUUCUUUGUGAAAUUUUAAUAAAAGCUCAUUGGAAGCCA